UUAGAUUAGCAUGCUUAUUGGAUAGAGUAGUUUAGCAUGCUAAUUGUCACCUCGCUAUAUUAUCUUAUCAUGCUAAUUGGUUAAAUAUAAAGUAUGUUAUUGUAGCAUGCUACUGAUUAGCUUGCUUACCACAAGAUUUUUUUUUUCUGGAUAAUUUGCAGCUUUGGUUAUAUAAUGUGGCAUGCGAUGUGUGAUUUAAGAGACAGGACUUUAGGAUUUUUAAUCAGGCACUGAACAGGAUACCUAAAAAAGUUGUUAGUCUUAAAGCCACCAUUAAGAGAGAAGCCAUUACCUGAACUACCUCAGUGAUAUUUAGAAAGCCUCAGUUAUUAGAACAUUUAUAUCUAGCAGUUUAUCAACAAAAAGUCCAAAAAAGUGAGAUUGGCCAAAGAAAUACACAAGGGAGGAAAGAAAGCUGCAUGAUCGAUGAACAUUGAUGGGAUUGGUGAAAUGUUUUAAAGGCAGGGUUUAGCAAAAGGGCCAAUUGAUUGUUUCUCCACUGGGAAUAUAAAAACAACAACAACAACAACAACAAAAACAAUGGCCGACCUCAUCCAAAAAUGGGAUAUUUUUACUGCAACAGCCACAAGGGAGAUUGAAAUAAUUUCCAGACCAACGCACACUACCUGGAAGGACGGAAAUGACCCUGCCAGGAUAUUCAGUGUAGAUGAGGAUCAUGCGCUGCCCUCCAUCCCCACCUCGACACACACACUUCCAGUUCUGGCCUUUCCUGCCAGUGUGUUGACACGCAAUUAACUGGAGCAAAAAUAGUACUAGGGCAGCAGUUGCAGUAAUGGGCACCAUGUGCAGAGGUCAGGACCCAUUUGUCCAGUCCAGCCCACCAUAGACAUGGUCCUCCACCAUCCCGACACUGUCUCUGCAUCAGGGGUCCAUGAAGACAUACGGCUAAUGACAGCAGGAUGCAGGAACAGCCCUUCACUGGAGCCAGAGAGAGCCUGUUAGUCAUGGAUAAUGAAUGAUAUUACUCUUUCAGGGUUGGGGCUUUUGUCUCAUUACUUCUGAAGGCAUAAGGGACUCCAGUAGUAUUGACACUACCAUAAAGACUUUAGGCCUGAUGGGCCAUACUGACCAUCUGCUUUUAUCCCAAUCCUGAGCUGGCUAUAGAGGCAUCAGGGUUGGAAUUAAUGGACAUUUCUUCAGUUAGAUUGAUGUGUCUGUACUCCACUGAUUAAUGCAUAAAUCGCAUCUCUCUGCUCCCUU